rnacentral:rRNA from 1 species
AACGAACGCUGGCGGCAUGCCUAACACAUGCAAGUCGAACGAGACCUUCGGGUCUAGUGGCGCACGGGUGCGUAACGCGUGGGAACCUGCCCUUAGGUUCGGAAUAACUCCCCGAAAGGGGUGCUAAUACCGGAGAAUGUCUUCGGACCAAAGAUUUAUCGCCUUUGGAUGGGCUCGCGUGGGAUUAGCUAGUUGGUAGGGUAAAAGCCUACCAAGGCGACGUUACAUAGCUGGUCUGAGAGGAUGAUCAGCCACACUGGGACUGAGACACGGCCCAGAAUCUUACGGGAGGGAGGAGUGGGGAAUAUUGGAAAGUGGGCGAAAGGAUGAUGCAGCAAUGACGGGAGAGUGAUGAAGGUCUUAGGGUUGUAAAGCUCUUUUACACGGGAUGAUAAUGACAGUACCGGGAGAAUAAGCACCGGCUAACUCCGUG